rnacentral:lncRNA from 1 species
GUAAAGGUCCAUUUUGUGAAGUCAACAUUCUGCAAGGAAAAUACUCUCUGGAGAAUCUGGAUGAUGAUGUAGCGAAGGAUCUUGUCGAGUGGAUGAUCAAUGAACAUCCAAACAACAGACCAACUGUGGAGCAAACCCUUGAACACCCCUUCUUCUGGACUAAUGAACGGAGAGUGGAAUAUUUGAAAAAGAUGGGGAACCAGAAGGAGACCGAGAACUGUCGUAAUGUUGAUGAGGAGCUCCUUCAAACUGUUGAAAAAUACACCGAGGGGAAAAGCUUUUCUGAAUGGAAAACUAAAUUGCCAUCUGAGCUCAUCCAGAAAUUAGAUAGUAAGAAAAACUAUCCUGAGAACACACUGGGCCUGCUGCGAUUUAUACGCAACCUACACGAGCAUUAUGCAGAGGACGCAGAGAGCAUCAACCUGAUGGCUUCAUUCCCUGAUCUGUUUGGGAGUGCGUUCAGGUUUGCGAAGGAGAGAGGAUGGAACUCCAGAGCGAGUCUGAAAAAGUUCUUCAGCUCAGCUCCAUAGAUCUGAUUGUUGUAAUUUUUUUUUUUUUUUUUUUGCACAUUGAUUCUGCAUCAUGAAUGUGUUUCAUGAUUGGGUUUAAAUGUAGGGAUAAAUGAUCCUCACACU